rnacentral:rRNA from 1 species
GACGAACGCUGGCGGCGUGCCUAAUACAUGCAAGUAGAACGCAGUUGCGAACGGGUGAGUAACGCGUAGGUCACUGCCUGGUAGCGGGGGAUAACUAUUGGAAACGAUAGCUAAUACCGCAUACUACCAGAUGGACCUUCGUUGUAUUAGGUAGUUGGUGAGGUAACGGCUCACCAAGGCAACGAUACAUAGCCGACAUGAGAGGGGUGUGGGCCAAAAUGGGACUGAGACACGGCCCAGACUCCUACGGGAGGCAGCAGUAGGGAAUCUUCGGCGAUGGGGGGAACCCUGACGCAGCAACGCCGCGGGAGUGAAGAAGGUUUUCGGAUCGUAAAUCUCUGUUGUGAAGGAGGCGGUACUUAACCAGAAAGGGACGGCUAACUACGUGCCAGCAGCCGCGGUAAUAC